ACAGUUCAGAUUUCAACCUUCAAUGGCGGAUGAGGUGGUUUUGUUGGAUUUCUGGCCCAGCCCGUUUGGGAUGAGGCUGAGGAUCGCUCUGGCUGAGAAGGGCAUCGAGUAUGAGUACAAAGAAGAUGACUUGUGGAACAAGAGCCCAUUGUUGCUGCAGAUGAACCCGGUUCACAAGAAGAUCCCGGUUCUCAUUCACAAUGGAAAACCGGUCUGUGAGUCCCUCAUUGCACUUCAGUACAUUGAUGAGGUUUGGAAUGAUAAGGCUCCACUCUUGCCCUCUGACUCUUACCUCAGAGCCCAGGCCAGGUUCUGGGCUGACUUCGUCGACAAGAAGGUGAUUUUUACUCAUUAAUUUACUUAUUUGUAGGAUUAUUUUUGUUUUGAAUAUGUUUGGUUUGAAACAAUUGAACAAUGUUGUUUUAGAAUUUUAAGAUUAUAAGUGUUUAGGGUGUAUAAUGAUUUUACCACUUAGGAUUUGUAUUAGAAGGGAAAUUAAAUGGAACUGGAUCUCUGUUUAUGUUUUCGGGUUAAGAUUUCAUGUAAUGGUUUCGGGUUUAGGGUUUGAGGUUUAAGGUGUGUGAUGUAUAUUUAGAAAGAUAUAAGCAGAAGAUCUGAACUUGCAGAUACAUGAGAAUGGGAGGAAGUUGUGGACAACCAAAGGAGAAGAAUAUGAUGCAGCAAAGAAAGACUUUCUCGACUGCAUCGGCGUGUUAGAAGGAGAGCUCGGAAACAAGCCCUUCUUUGGCGGGGAGACCCUCGGAUUCGUGGACGUGGCGCUUGUUCCAUUCUAUAGCUGGUUUCUUGUGUAUGAAAAAUUUGGCAACUUCAGUGUUGAGGCAGAGCACCCAAAGUUCAUUGCCUGGGUUAAGAGGUGCAUGGAGAGGAGAGCGUGUCCAAGUCGCUUCCCGAGCAGGAAAAGGUCUACGAUUUCUUCAUGCUUAUAAGGAAAAAGCGUGGGAUUGAGUAGAUAUUGGUGGAAGCCUGGCAAGAAGCUAUUGAUGAUCAGUGUCAUUCCAACUUGUUUAGGUCAUUGGUUUUUCUGUCUUUCAAGAUUCAACUGUUUUCGGUUGUUGAAUUAGAAUAAAAGGGCACUUGACAAGGCUUGCACUGUAUGAGGCACUUUAUUGUGCCUCAGGUCAAUAUGUUUAUUUUGCUUCUGUAGUCAACCUAUCACAGUGUUGUCAACUUGUUAUGCAAGGGAUCUAAAUCUACUUGAUCAAUUUUCUUAUUUUGUAACUACAUAUCGAAUGAUGGAUUAUUGGCUGUCACCAGUUGCAUUUAAUCGUGAGUCUAUCUUUCUUAUCAGGUAACAAAGACUCAUGGUUGUAUGCGGUAGAUUAUACAGUGAAUUUUCUUUUUAUCCAACUUUGAGUCAACAUUGAUAAGUCAUAUGAGAUCAGGUGCAGCAGACACAGCAAAAGAUCUCACCAGAACAUCUCAGACAGAAAAACAAACUGAAAAGAAAAUGAACUAGAAUAACGCAUCCUAACAUUCAUCAUCGAACUUUUAACAUGGUGAUCAGGACAAUCUCAAAUACAUAAAACCUCGUCCGACUCCGCCAUUGUUGACUUGAUGCACAAACUUCUUGCAGAUCAAUUUGCUUCUUGCCAAAUAUUUGACACCUACGUUUCAGUCUCACUUAUAUUGGCCAAUUUUUGUUUCAUAAUCUAUAUUAAGUCAGCCAGUAAUAUUUUCUACAUAAACAUUUUUAUUCCUGUAAUUUGAUUCAUAUUUCAUUUUUGUAUACCUAUAUAAACCUACUUCAUGGGAUCCCUGCGCUAAACCAACUUUGCCUUUUGAAAAUUCAUAGUGCUCUUCAUUAAUUAGAAAGGAGGCAAAAAUACAGCAACGCCCUAAUGAGACCCCCUUCCGAUGUUGAGCCCUAAUGAUACCCCCUUCCGAUGUUGAACCAUCACUCAGACUAGAACACCACAAUGACACCACAAUUACACUUCAAUGAUUUAAAAAACAACCAAAACCUCAUUUUCAAAGAACUCCAUUUACCAACAAGUGACUUACAUUUCAAUUUGAUUUAAACCAAAAUUCUUAAGAUUUUGAACCACCAGUGCAACAAUAACAAUCUGACAACCCCACAACGACACUCCAAUGAUACUCUCCAUUUUAUGAUUUGAACUGGCACAACCACAACAACAAUCUGAUGAUGUCACAAUGACAUUCCAACGAUAUAUACUUCCCUUUUUAUGAUUUUGAACCAACACAACCACAACAACAAUUUGAAGAUGCCAAAACGACACACCCCCAUUUUUUUGAUUUCGAACCACCUCAGCCACAACACUUCAUUCAAGGAACCCUCUCCUUCUACAUUCCCUAACCACCACAACCAAAUUUCAAAUACAAAAAAAAUCAAAUAAUUGAGCUAAAGCAAGAUGAAACAGAGAGGGGAAGAAGAAGAAUGGAUACGGGAGGUGGAGCAAUAAGAAGCUUACCUCCUUUCAUGGUGUUCCAAAUGUUAUUUACCGCUCCAAAUUCAAUUAGUCAAGACGGCGCAAUCGAAAAAUGGAUUUGGGAGUGUUGUUGGGUGUUGGUAGUUUUUUUUUUAUCAAUGAAGAACAUGAUGACCAAUAAAAAGAUAAGUGAAGGGUAGUGUGGACUUUUCAUAUGAAAAUUUGAUCAAAAGAACAAUUUUUAAUAAGUGUGAUAAAAAAUAUAACCAAAUGUCAAAACAUAUCUAUUUUGGCUAAUUGCUGUAUAAUCUUCUGAGGUCAUAAUUGGAUCUAGCCUCCAACAAAACCACUAAACUAAAAGCUAGUGACAGUAACCCAUAAGUAAAUAUUACUAUAAAAGCGACCGAGAGUGAUAAUAAAACUUGGCAAAAUAAAUUUAUAUUGAUAGUGGAGGUUAGAUUUGCUCCAUAUCGAGGCUCCUUAUCGGACUUGGCUUUCUCGUGCUAUUAAUUGUAGACACUUUUGAUAUUGUUGUGGAGUGAUUGUUGUCACUGGCCUUUAAUGAGUCAAGGACCUAUGAGUUGAUUGGUGAAUAAGAUCUAAAAAUGUGUUUUCACUAAUGUAAUAUAAAUAGGUGGUUAUUCUAGCAUUACUCUUCAUAUACAAUUGGAUGAUUCAAAUCUUUUUUGUAACCUUCUUCAUGGCCUGGAAUUAUACAACUGUUUUUUUCCCUAAUAGUUCUUAUUACACCUUUACUUGAUUUGCAUCACUUCCUUUAUGUUAAUAAAAUUAGACGAUUGCACAUGCUUCCUUACGGACCCAAAGACAACAUUUUUUUUUAACCAUUCUAGUUCCGUGUGGUUGAAUGGGAUUACAGGCUUUAGGGUUUUAGGGAUGCAGCACACCCCAAUAUUGCUAAAGGAAUUGUGACUCUAAAAACUACUUAGCCUAGGUGGUGCACAUACCGAAUAGCUAAUAAGUUAACUACGUUCUUCGGUUGAAUGCGGAGUGUGCCAACUCGUCUGUCAAGCUCGGCCGGGGAGUGAAUAAAUGUUGAUGUGACGUUGGGCACUGAUGACUUCUGAAUCUUGCGAUUGCGGCCGAGGAAGGAGCACAUCUCGCCCUUUGGGUUCUAAAGCCUGAAGACAAGGCUGCUAGUUCAGUAGAUUGACGACCGCGAGAUUGGAUCCACCGCAAAAUCACCUUCUUCCUCAAAAAUUGUAUCCAGCAUUUUCGUCAAUGGGCGUUUGCUUAUUGAAAUGAACUGUGAUACUGCAACUUCUGUACGAGUACUCUUGGAGUUUGGCACUUUACCAUUCCUUCCAUUGCAAUGGAGGUAUGGAAUUAUGACAAUGCAGUUCUGGAAAGGGAAAAUUGGGAAGGUAGAGGAAGAUGGAGAGGUUGAAAGAGAAUAUGGUGCAAUGAACAAUUUUCUGGGGUUUUGUAGGGGUUUUAGAGAUUGAAAUUUGGCUGUUAUUUUUGUCUUGACGGCUACAUCUAAGGACAUUUGGUACUUUCCCAAUCCACCUUUAAUAUUCUAACUAAUGAGUCCACGUUCUAAUUAAAUUAGUUUAGUCUAUGAAGAAAGAAAUUCGAACUUUGAUGCACAAGAACUAACGAGCUGGUCUAACUCACAACUGCACUAUAAGAAUUGUCGAUAACAAUAUCAUUUUAUUUUUUAGCUUUCAUUUUUACGUUAAGGGUAAAGAGAAAACAUUAGAUAAAGGAGAUAUGGUGGUGAGAUGAGGAGGGGAAAUGAAGAACAAUGCAUGAAACCAACUUUGCCUAUCGAAAAUUCAUAGUGCUCUUCAUUAAUAAGAAAGGAGGCAAAAAUACAACUUUGCCCUUCGGUGUAUAGUUGACUUCAUUUUUAUUUUUUAUCAUUUUUACUUCUUCUUUAUAUACAAUUUUGGAUAAUGCAUGCAUGCGUGCCUAGGUUUCUGAUUUUUUUUUAUAUUACCUAGGGGUUUACAUAUUAUAUGCUCGCGUGAAGAUACUGUAGACAUCGAAAUUUCGAUAAAUAAAUGUUGACCGAUAAAUCAAAGUGUCAACGCUCGUGUAUUACAUAAAUUUUACACGUAGCGUGUGACUCAACGAAAAUUGAAAUGAGUUGGAAAAAGUCAUCAAAUAGAACACGUGUCAACACCUGGCAGAAACGACUUAUUUCAUCUGGGAUAUUAUAUUCAAAAUUAAGCCUUGGAAAAUUCUAUAAAUACAAGCCCAUUUCAUUCAUUUGGAGGGGGAACCAAAAUCAUUAGGCAAAAUUCUUGAAGCUCUGAAGCUCUGAAACUCCGAAGCUCUCAAGCAUCCAGGUUCCCGAAGAAUCAAGAAAGUGUUCUUCGUUCUUCGUUCUUCGUUCUUCCAAGAUCAAGCCCCAACGGCCCUUUGGAUCAACAAUCAUCCACCAAUUCAAGAUCAAGCCCCGACGGCCCUUGAAGAAAGUGUUAUUCGUUAUUCGUUCAUCGUUCUUCCAAGAUCAAGCCCCAACGGCCUUUUGGAUCAACAAUCGUCCACCCAUUCAAGAUCAAGCCCCGACGACCCUUGAAGAAAGUGUUCUUCGUUCCUCGUUCAUCGUUCUUCCAAAAUCAAGCCCCGACGACCCUUAGAUCAACCAUCCAUCAAUUCAAGAUCAAGCCCCAAAGGCCCUUGAAGAACUUCCACCAAUUCAAGAUCAAGCCCCGACAGCCCUUGAAGAAAGCACCAUCGUUCAUCAUCCGUUCAUCCAAGAUCAAGCCCCAACGGCCCUUUGGAUCAACAACGUCAACAAAUCCACACAUCUAACCGUUCUUCAAGAUCAAGCCCAAAAGCCCUUGAAGAUCCGUUCAUCACUGUUCUUCAAGAUCAAGCCCAAAAGCCCUUGAAGAUCCGUUCAUCGCCAUUAUUCAAGAUCAAGCCCAAAAGCCCUUGAAGAUCCGUUCAUCACCAUUAUUCAAGAUCAAGCCUCAACGGCCCUUGAAGAAACACUCAUCCUUAAGAUCAAGCCCCAACGGCUCCUUGAAGAUCCGCUCAAAUCCACCUUCAAAGAUCAAGCCCACGGUCCCUUGAAGAAACUUCCAACAGUUCAUCCAAGAUCAAGCCUCGACGACCCUUGGAUCAACGAAACAUCCACAAAUCAAUACCUUACGGAAAUCGAAUCAGAUGAUCAAGAUAAAAAGAUUGUAACCUUACAAAUCCAUUAACACCAAAAUCUUUCUUUGCACACGUUGUUCUUGUCUCUUUCGUUUCAGGAAUUUUCCGUGUUCACAAAUUGGCACACCCGGUGGGAUAAUCUCUACCUCUCAUCUCUUUCUCCGUUCAAGAAAUUCGAGCACACUUCCAAAAUUAAUGGCAUCAAGGAAGGUUCAAACUGUUCCCGCAACUGGCGUAAAGAACAAGAGCGUCAUCGUCGCAAGUGGUGUCAUUUUAGGCAUCACGACUCGAAGCAAGGCAAGAGCUACUUCUGCCGCCUCUUUCACCUCUGCAUCAACUAUGCCAAGGGAAUAAGAGCACCCAAGGCACGAGCCUUUGAUCACCUUAGCCUCACCAAGGGCACCAAGGAGCGAAAGUCCAAGGAAAUACUCCGAAUCCAUACUCUCCGAUGCCGAUUCGAGCGGCAGUUCAGCCAUGCAAGUCAUGACCAUUGGAGCAACUUCAAUCGAUGAGUAGCUGGCUCAAAUGAAUGAAGCAAUCGCAAGGCUAACCCGAACUGUGGAAGAAAAAGACUUGCAAAUCGCUGCACUCGUCAGCCGACUGGAGCCACAGGCGGCGAGAACCCUAACCCAGAAGAUGAGCCUACGGUGGAGAGAAUCGAUGCGAAGCCGGAGCCAGACCAAGCAGCGGCACUCAUGGGAUCUCUUUCUAUCCAGCAGUUGCAAGAGAUGAUCACCAACACCAUCAAGGCACAGUACGAAGGGAGCUCAAAUACCUCCGGGUUGUACUCAAAGCCUUAUUCAAAGAAGAUUGAUGCCCUAAAGAUACCGAGGGGAUAUCAACCACCAAAGUUCAUGCAGUUUGAUGGAAAAGGAAACCCAAAGCAGCAUGUUGCACAUUUUGUCGAAACUUGCAACAACGCGGGGACUGAGGUAGACUACCUCGCCAAGCAGUUUGUGCGCUCGCUAAAAGGAAACGCCUUUGAGUGGUACACGGACCUAGAGCCUGAGUCUAUCAACAGCUGGGAACAGUUGGAAAGGGAAUUCCUCAACCGCUUCUACAGCACCCGCCGCACUGUGAGCAUGCUAGAGCUAACGAGCACAAAGCAGUGGAAUGACGAGCCAGUCAUUGACUACAUCAACAGAUGGCGCACUCUAAGCCUCGACUGUAAAGACAGGCUCUCGGAAACUUCUUCAAUCGAGAUGUGUAUCCAAGGCAUGCAAUGGGGUUUGCAAUACAUCCUUCAAGGCAUCAAACCACGGACCUUCGAGGAAUUGGCCACUCGCGCCCAUGACAUGGAGUUGAGCAUCGCCCAUCAUGGGAAGAAGGAACCGAUCACCGACUACAAGAACGACAAAGUUCUUGAGACAAAGGUAGAGAAGGCUGCGUGGAAAUCCACUAAAGAAGCGAUGACGGUCAACACAUCUCCCGUCAAAAUCUCCACACGAGGCAAGGCGAUUCAAACCGAAGCUUUUCGUGAUCAAGAGAUGCGUAGACGCACUUUGAAGGAGCUUGAGGAGAAGACUUAUCCGUUCCCCGACUCUGAUGUGGUUGCCAUGCUGGAUGACCUGUUGGACAAGAAGGUGAUCAGUUUGCCUGAGUGCAGACGGCCGGAAGAGAUGAAUCGUACCGACAGCCCAAGAUACUGUAAAUUCCACCGCUUCAUCAGCCAUCCAACGGAAAAGUGCUUCGUACUGAAAGUGCUUCAUACUGAAAGAUCUCAUCCUGAAGCUGGCACAACAAGGGAAAAUCGAGCUUGACCUCGAAGACACGGUUGCGGCACACACUACUACUAUCGUGUUUGGAUCACUUGAUCAUAUGCCUUUCCGAAGCAUGCAUGACCAUUCCCGUCAAUGUUCAAGUCAUAAGGCACCUCCUACACAACCAUCACCGGGGGCAAGCAACCAAGAUGCAGCUACUGGUGAUAAGAAAGAGUGGACAUCGGCGACCUACAAAAAAACGAGGAAGCCAAGACCACAAGCCACAAGACCAAAAGAAGAGCCUAAACCCGCCCCUCGAACUUCAGUCUUCGAAAGGCUGAAUUAUUCAAAACCUAGAAUUUCGGCACUUGAUGACAUUAGUGGUCAAGACCAAACUUCCGUCUUCAAAAGGCUUGAGACGCCAACACCGCAAAGAUCUGUCUUUGAAAGGUUAUCAAAACCCAAGAAACAAAGCGGCACAGCUAGAUUUCCUCCACAACGGUCGGCUUUGGACAGACUUGAAGAAACUAAGAAGCCUUCUAGAAACAGGAAGACAACGCCAAAGGGAGAAAAGCUCGACAGUCUAGCAAGAAAAGACGAUGUUCAAAGUUUGAUUCCUUCAAGGAUGAAGCGCCAAGCAACUUUGGAAGUCGACACAAAAGGACCACUGAAGGUAAGGAGGCGCACCAUCAUCUACACUGGCCAACCUUCACGGCAACAAACCCAAGAGGACCGCACUGAAGAGGAGGCCCAAGAAGACAAAGAAGACGAAAUCCUGGAAGAAGACCUCACUUCCGGCUCUGUCAACUCAAAAUCUUCACCUCAAUCGCUGGGGGCAUGCUCCAAAAACAUGCCAGUCAAGCCGAGUGAAGUUAAAGGAUGGACUUAUGUCACUCAUGUUCACCUCCAAAACAUGCCAGUCAAGACUUCACAUUUUUUAUUGUUUUAGUGAUUUCGAUGACAUCGAUAAUUAUUUAAUCUUGCGUUUGCUGCAUUAUUUAAACUUCUAUAUUCAUAUUCAUCUUUUAGGGUUCAUAUUAAUCUUGCGUACCUAGUAACAUGAGUCGUAUUAGCGCUAGAGUCAUAUACUACUUUUACAAAUUGAGGAUAGCCAUUCUCCACAUGAACUCCUACUCUCAAUCUUUAGCCGUUUAAUUGACGUAUGUUUCUCAUUGCAAGUUUUUCUUUCUUUUUUCUUCUUCUUUCCUUGUCAUUGGGAGAUGAUCAGUGGAAAAUGAGGAGAGACAUGGCCUGUAUUAAAGAAAUCCGAGACCAAUUUAGUUUUGAUUUAUUAAUUAACUUCUACACCUAGAUCAUUAACAGAGAUAGGGUCUUUAUUUAUUUUGUUCAAGACUAAGUCUAAAGACUUGUGAAAUAUAUAUAGAAGCAUUAUUUGUUAGCAGUAACGAGAGUGUCUUUUUUUUUUUUUUUUUUUUUUUUUUUUACUCGGAAAGACUUAGCACCACGGGUCAUUUUUUUAAGGCUUUUUAGAAGUUGAAUAAGAUGAUUUCAAACUAUACUAAGAUGAUUUCAAAUCAUCAUUUUGAAAUCAUUCGGCAACUACUAAACGUUCAGAUGAUUUGAAAUAUUUCGACAAAUUAAACGUUCAAAUGGUUAUAUUCAAUCCCUGAAAAUUAAAAAUGAGUGUUAUAAGAUUUGAGAAAUGGGGGGUGUAAAGAAAAUGUGGGGUGUAUGUACAAAAUAUAAGAUGUAUAUUGAGAAUGCAGGGUGUGGGGUAUUAUGGGAAAGUAUGUGGGGUGUAUGAAGAUAAUUUUUAAGUGGAAAAGCAAAUAUAGGGUGUAUUAAGUAUGUGAGGUUUAUUCAACAAUUUGUGGGAUGUUAAUAUAAUUAGCUAAACUGAAAACCAAAAAAAUAAAAACUCAAAAAAGUAGUUUUUAGUUUCAAAUUUUUGCAAACUUAAUAUUGAUAAUAGUUACCAAACAAAAUUUUAAUUUUUUAGAAGAAAAAAAAAACCUAAAAAUGCAAUGAUUAUCAAAAUGAGUUAGUUAAACCAAUGAGCGAUUGUGGACAAAAUUGGGCUGGACUGGAACUAGGCUUUACAUAUUUGAAAUAGGAGUGGACCCAAGACUUACAUAUUUUAAACAGAACCUAAUGGCCCGACCCAUUUAACUCUUAGGGCCAGAGGUAUAGGGCCAAGUACGACUUGGGCAGCUAUACCUUGGGCUCUUGUUGGCCUUCCCGAUCCAAUCUACAGGCCUACUAGAAACUACGGGUCCAACUCACUGUGGGUAUCAAAGUUGGUUGAAGGCCUUUUCAGUAUCUAACUUAUAGAUUAUUUUCUAGGGAGUUUUAACGAAAAGCCCACAGUAUUGUUUAUUUUAACGAAAAACCACAUUUUUAUACUAAAAAGUCAAACUUGAUACUAUUCACUUUACUCUUUAUUUUGUCCUUAUCAUUAAAACUCAAAAUUUUCAAACUUUUUUCAUUAGUUUUCCUUAUGUUCUAUUACAUUUUUUUACAAGGGAUAUUGAAGGACAUGAGCUGGCUUCAACUAUAAAUCCCUUCUUGUUACAAAGUUGAAUUCUUGACCAGUUAAAAGAAGGAAGAAAAGUAGAAGGAUUUUGUUCAUGCCACUUUACAGCAGUAGCGGAAAUCAUUAAAUCUUACGUUUCACGAGUUUAGUUUGAUCACACCAAUUUUUUAUUUUAAAAUUUAACAAUUUAAUUUACUGAACACUACAUUUAGUCAAAACCCAAAAGAAAAUUAUGAGAAUUUCAGGAUUUUAAUGUCGUAAGCAGUUACAUAAUCAGAUCCAAAUCGAACGAUCUCGAAUGUAUCCAAAAAAGAAGAAAAAUAGAAUAUCUCCAUUCCUGCAGUGUAGUUUUUCACUUCAACUUUUGUCUAUAAAUAGACACAACCCCCCACCACGACCUCCACCGCCAGUCCACGGCUUCAUAUCUAAGCUAACCUUCUGCGACCCUUUUGCAAACUUGUAUCAAACUGUUCAGAUUUCAACCUUCAAUGGCGGAUAAGGUGGUUUUGUUGGAUUUCUGGCCCAGCCUCUUUGGGAUGAGGCUGAGGAUCGCUCUGGCUGAGAAGGGCAUCGAGUAUGAGUACAAGGAAGAGGACUUGUCGAACAAGAGCCCACUGUUGCUGCAGAUGAACCCGGUUCACAAGAAGAUCCCGGUUCUUAUUCACAAUGGAAAACCGGUCUCUGAGUCCCUUAUUGCGCUUCAGUACAUUGAUGAGGUUUGGAAUGAUAAGGCUCCACUCUUGCCCUCUGACUCUUACCUCAGAGCCCAGGCCAGGUUCUGGGCUGACUUCGUCGACAAGAAGGUGAUUUUUACUCAUUAAUUUACUUAUUUGUAGGAUUAUUUUUGUUUUGAAUAUGUUUGGUUUGAAACAAUUGAACAAUGUUGUUUUAGAAUUUUAAGAUUAUAAGUGUUUAGGGUGUAUAAUUAUUUUACCACUUGGGAUUUGUAUUAGAAGGGAAAUUAAAUGGAACUGGAUCUCUGUUUCUGUUUUCGGGUUAAGAUUUCAUGUAAUGGUUCCGGUUUUAGGGUUUAGGGUUUAAGGUUUAAGGUUUGUGAUGUAUAUUUAGAAAGAUAAAAGCAGAAGAUCUGAACUUGCCCAAAACAAUGUAUAUUAAUUUCCCCGAAAUUUGGGAUGUGAAAUGCAGAUAUUCGAGAAUCGGAAGAAGUUGAGGACAACCAAAGGAGAAGAAUAUGAUGCAGCAAAAGAAGACUUUCUCGACUGCAUCGGCGUGUUAGAAGGAGAGCUCGGAGACAAGCCCUUCUUUGGCGGGGAGACCCUCGGAUUCGUGGACGUGGCGCUUGUUCCAUUGUAUAGCUGGUUUCUUGUGUAUGAAAAAGCUGGCAACUUCAGUGUUGAGGCAGAGCACCCAAAGUUUAUUGCCUGGGCUAAGAGGUGCAUGGAGAAGGAGAGCGUGUCCAAGUCGCUUCCCGAGCAGGAAAAGGUCUACGAUUUCUUCAUGCUUACAAGGAAAAAGCGUGGGAUUGAGUAGAUAUUGGUGGAAGCCUGGCAAGAAGCUAUUGAUGAUCGGUGUCAUUCCAACUUGUUAGGUCAUUUGGUUUUUCUGUCUUUCAAGAUUCAACUGUUUUCGGUUGUUGAAUUAGAAUAAAAGGGCACUUGACAGGGCUUGCACUGUAUGAGGCACUUUAUUGUGCCUCAGGUCAAUAUGUUUAUUUUGCUUCUGUAGUCAACCUAUCACACUGUUGUCAACUUGUUAUGUAAGGGAUCUAAAUCUACUUGAUCAAAUUUCUUAUUUUGUAACUACUUCAUAUCGAACAACGGAUUAUUGGCUUUCACCAGUUGCAUUUAAACGUGAGUCUCUUUCUAGCAGGAGACAAAGACUCAUGGUUGAAUGCAAUCGAUUAUACGAUGAAUUUUCUCCUUAUCCAACUUUGAGUUAACAUUUUUCAGUCGUAUGAGAUCAUGUGCGGUACACACAGCAAAGAUCUUACCUGAACAUGUCGACAGAAAAACAAACUGAAAAGAAUAUGAAGGCAUCCUAACAUUCAUCCAAGGAUUUUCUAACAUGGUGAUCAGUGUGAUAAUACACCAGUAGCUAGCCGCGGAGUCAUGUAGAAGGCUGGUCGGAACUCAGGCCGGCCUAAUUUUAUUUGUGAUAGUCCUCUCCACGCAAUGAUCUUUGGGCACUCUAUUUGCACAAAUUUCCACAGGUCUCAAAUACAUAAAACCUCGUCCGACUCCGCCAUUGUUGACUUGAUGCACAAACUUCUUGUAGAUCAAUUUGCUUCUCGCCAAUAUCUGACACCUGCGUUUCAGUCUCACUUAUAUUGCCCAAUUCUUGUUUUAUUCAUGUAAUUGGAUUCAUAUUUCAUUUUUGUCGAUAAAGUGCACACAUGGUCAACAAGUGAUUUGUUCAAACCUAUAUGAACCUACUUCAUGGGAUCCCGUGCACUUAACCAACUUUGCCUGUUGAAAAUUCAUAGUGCUCUUCAUUAAUCAGAAGGGAGGCAAAAAUACAGCGAUGCUCUAAUGAAACCCCCUUCUGCUGUUGAACCAUCACUCCGACUAGAACACCACAAUGACGCCACAAUUACACUUCAAUGAUUUUAAAAACAACCAAAACCUCAUUUUCAAAGACCCACAUUUAACAACAAGGGACUUACAUUUCAAUUUGAUUUAAACCAAAAUUCUUAGGAUUUUGAACCAACGGUGCAACAAUAACAAUUUGAGGACCCCACAACGACACUCCAAUGAUACUCCCCAUAUUAUGAUUUGAACUAGCACAACCAUAACAACAAUCUGAUGACGCCACAAUGACACUCCAACGAUAUAUACUUCCCUUUUUAUGAUUUUGAACUAACAGAGUCACAACAACAAUUUGAUGAUGCCACAACUACACACCCCCAUUUUUUGAUUUCGAACCACCUCAGCCACAACACUCAUUCAAGGAACCCUCUCCUUCUUCAUUGCCUAACCACCACAACCAAAUUUCAAAUACAAAAAAAAUCAAAUAAUUGAGCUAGAGCAAGAUGAAACAGAGAGGGGAAGAAGAAGAAUGGAUAUGGGAGGUGGAGCAAUAAGAAGCUUACCUCCCUUCAUGGUAUUCCAAAUGUUAUUUACCACUCCAAAUGUGAUUAGUCAAGACGGCGCAAUCGAAAAAUGAAUUUGAGAGUGUUGUUGGGUGUUGGUGGUUUUUCUAUGGGUAAAUUACAUUUUAUCUCCUCAAGUUUGAGGUUGAUUGUAACCUUAUAACAUCUUUAAAACAUUUUAAUUCAUACAUUUACUUAUCAUUUUAUUUCAAUUUCAUAAAUCCGUUAGAAAAUUCGUUAAAUAAACCGUUAAGUGAUGACAUGGAAAAUAUUAGAUCCAUAUUUGUGCUGAUGUGGUUACUAAAUUUGUGUCACGUAGUAAAAAAUAAUAAUUUUUCUACGCGUUUCAAAAUAAUAAUUUAAUCAGAAUAUUAAAUACUAAAAUAAUUAAUUAAAGAAAAGUUUGAAAAAAAACAAAAGAAACCUAAAACCCAUAUCGUCCCCUUCCCCAUCCGCAGCCUCAUUCCCCACCGAUUCUCCCACCACCACCCACUUGCCCACCCGAGCCACCCCUUCUCCCGUCACCAACCCCGUCCCCCAUCACUUCCGCACGAAGCUUCUCCCUCCAGCACCACCAUCAUCCCCCAUCACCCAUCACCACCCCCUUCCCCAUCACUUCCGCAACACGCUUUUCCCUCCAGCACCACCACCAUCCCCCAUCACUCAUCACCACCCCCUUCCCCAUCACUUCCACACCACGCUUUUCCCUCCAGCAGCACCACCACCAUCCCACAUCACCACCCCCUUCCCCAUCACUUCCGCACCAAGCUUCUCCCUACAGCACCACCACCAUCAAUUUCCUCAUCCCAAAGCCCCGAGCAACCCAGAGACCCCUAAUUUUUCCCCCACCUUCAUCACCACCUCAAACCCUUGCCUUGAUUUCUUCUUCCAAGUGGUGCUCUUCAUCCCCUUCUCAUGGAAGGAAGAUCCAAAUCUGCUGGGAAAACCUGUUUUUCGAAUUCGAACCCCGAGAUUUGUUGCACAAGGACAAGAAAUCGUCUUCGGUGUGGAAUCUCCGCCUAUGACUCCGACGUCGAUUGGUGGCUCCUCGGAAUCUCCAAAUUCGCAAACCUUGCCGCCUCGGCUGGGCUCAGCAAACUUCCCCCCGAAUUCUCCAGCGGGCUGUCGAAAUUAAACUUCGCGGCGACUGCGACAAGGCCAAAACUGCGAAAACGAAUCCCAGCGAAUGCUCUGCACGCAAUCUUCUGGCGGUUUUAGCGACUCCACCUCCGUCGCGAAAGCUCUGCACGCCAAACUCGCCAGUUCAACCCGAGACCGGGCAAUCUGCACAGGAUUUUUGGGUAAAUGUUUUAACGGCACAUUUAUUUUAUUAUUAUUAUUUUUUGUUUGGGUUUCCAGAUGCCCACCCUCGACGGCGGCCAAGAAAUUGUGGAGGGAGUGGUAUCCGGCUGCUCGGCUUGUUUUAAGAUUUGCUGGAGAAGAGGAGUGGGCCCCUUUGUAUUUUGUUUUAAUUUAUUUUUGUACUUAUUUUUUAUUUUAUUUUCCACGUUAUCACUUAACAAAUUUUUUAACUGAUGUAUUAUAUUGAAAUAAAAAUGAUAAGUAAAUGUAUAAAAUUGAAAUGUUUUAAUGAUGUUAUAUGAUGUUGUAAUCAACCUAAACCUAAGAGGAUAAAAUAUAAUUUACCUUUUUUUUAUCAAUGACCAAUAAAAAGAUAAAUGAAGGGCAGUGUGGACAUUUCACAUCAAAAGUUGAUCAAAAGAACAAUUUUUAAUAAGUGUGAUAAAAAAAUACAACCAAAUGUCAAAACAUGUCUAUUUUGGCUAAUAACCCUAUAAUCUUCUAAGGUCAUAAUUGGAUCUAGCUUCCAACAAAACCACUAAACUAAAAGCUAGUGACAGUAACUCAUAAGUAAAUAUUAUUAUAAAAGCGACCAAGAGUGAUAAUAAAACUUGUCAAAAUAAAUUUAUAUUGAUAGUUGAGGUCAAAUUUGCUCCAUAUCGAAGGUCCUUAUCGAACUUGGCUUUCUCAUGCUAUUAAUUGUAGACACUUUCAAUAUUACUGUGGUGUGAUUGUUGUCACUGGCCUAUGAUGAGUCGGAGACUUAUGAGUUGAUUGGUGAAUAAGAUCUAAAAUAUGUUUUCACUAAUAUAAUAUAAAUAGGUGGUUAUUCUAGCAUUACUCUUUAUAUACAAUUGGAUGAUUCAAAUCUUUUUUGUAACCUUCUUCAUGGCCUGGAAUUAUACAACUGUUUUUUUCCCUAAUAGUUCUUAUUACACCUUUACUUGAUUUGCAUCACUUCCUUUAUGUUAAUAAAAUUAGACGAUUGCACAUGCUUCCUUACGGACACCAAAGACAACAUUUUUUUUUUAAAAACUAUUGUAGUUCCGUGUGGUUGAAUGGAUUACAGGCUUUAGGGUUUCAGGGAUGUAGCACACCCCAACUUCAUGGCACAAUCGACGUAAAAAUAUUCUGAAAAUUGCAUAUAACACAUCCACGCCAAAACAAACCUGGGGCAUUAUGUACUGAUUCCAACUUCCGAUCGUAUUUUUCGUCUCCAUCCUCCUGCAAAAAGUGAAAUCUCGUUGUAAAAAUUAAUGUAAUUAUAGUAAUCUACAUAAAACUAAGAACUAAAUAAGAUAUUAAGGUCUCGUUUAUGUACUAAUUAUUUCAAUCGAAUAAGAUAAUCUGUCAUCGAACUGUACUAACUAAAUUAGUCGAACGUUUGGUGCAUUAUCGUAGUAAUGACCGUAUUAUUUAUAAUGUGUUUGGUACCGUACUGGAUGAGAGAUCGGAUUAUAUUAUUUUUACUAAAAAAAUUUGAUGACUAAUGAAAAAAAAAUUCACAACCAAAUGCAUCAAAUUUAAAAACAAAAUAAAAAUAAUUUUGCUUGUCACUUCGAUAUUGCAUUUUCUAUUUGUCCUUUAUUUAGAGCAAGUCCACCCCUAAAGACUUUGCGUCAGCACUCAGCGCAUUUAUCCACUCAAGUGAGAUUCCAGGGAACAGUAAUAGGCCAAAGUAUCUCCACGCCUAAAAAAAUAGCCUAGUCAAUUUAUUAAAAUAUUAUUAUUUUUAUUAUAAAAUAAUAAAAACUAAUAAUUUUAUUUUUAAUUUUUUGACUUUAUAAAAAAAUAAAUAUUAUUAUUAUUAUUAAAAUACUUUUAUUUUCUCAUCUUCCACACUUCCCUUCCCUUCCAUUCCUGCACGCCAUCCACCUUAACAUAGAUAAUCCAUUCCCACCGCCGCCUCCAAACCUCCUCCUCUCAUCCUCCAACACCGUUGCCCUCCUGUCUUUCAAGUCCCAAGCCGACCUCAACAACAAGCUCCUCUACCUCUCCUGCAUCUCCACACCUCUUGUCCUUCAACACCGUCGCUUCAUCCGCCUGCAUCUCCACACCUCCGAUGUCGUCGCUUUGUCCUCUCGUCCUUUUCCCUCCAUGGCUCCUUCCGUCCCGACACCCUCUCUCGCCUCGACCAGCUCCGCUCCUCAGCCUCCACAACAACUCCCUCUUUGGCGCAAAAAAAAAAAAAAAAAAAAAACUGACGUCAUAUGCCCUCCGACGCCACGCUGACGUCAGAUGGACCUGUCCCAAUGUCUGUCAAUUUUGGGCUGGCAUGGAGACUAGCUUGGGCUGGGUGCCAGUCAAUGGAAUGGAUUGGCUAAGUGUUAGCCUUGUUUUUUGGCUGAGUGCCGACCUAACCACCUCCCGGUGGAACUGCUCUUAGGAGGCAGAUUCUCUGACCUCCCACUUUCCUUGUCCUUCGUGCCCUUCUGUUUUGUGUGGUCACGGUUAAAUCACAUUAACAUUUUAUAUUAUUUUUUUAUAGAGAUAAUAAGACAAAAAAGAAUAGUAAUAUAAAAUAUUGACGUGACUUAACCAUGACCACACAAAUAGAAGGGCACGAGUCCCUUUAUUUAAACCAAAUUAUAAAAAAUAAAAAAUCUUCCCCAUAUCUUCUCCAUCGCACCGCCCCCAGACACCCUUAGUACCUUCUCCUUACCAGUUCAAGCAAAUCUUCCCCCUCAAUACAUCUGAAACAAAUCCCAAAUUACCCAGAAAUAAGGAAACUUAAUUACUAUUAAAAAAACAAAAAAGGGGGAAAUGGGUUGUAAAAUUCGUACAGGGCUCUGCUGAAACCAUUUGCUUCGUGGUUGACAAAGAUGAACCGUCCAUAUACUGGGUUUCUGUCAAAUCGAAAAUCCCUAUCAAGAACUGUUGCUCGAACUUAGGGUCUAAUGCGUUAAAACUAUUUGUAGGACAGAGAACUUCAUGGAUGCUGCAAAUCGAAGAAAGCUCUGAAGUGAACCGAGAGAAACCAACGUCAACCUACCACCAUCAGAUUGGGCCAGUUAACUGCCGAGGUCCAUGACCGUGACCCGGAGGGUUUGGCUCAGGCACCUUCGAGUAUUCGACAUAACCGAAGAGGAAGAGGGUGCGGGUAAAGAACGGAGGGAGUCGGACUAAUAAUACGUUCCUUUUGGGGUGUAUAAUUAAGGGGGCGUAAAGUGUAAUAAAUUGGAGGAGCCGGAUAAUUAGGGAUGGCAAUGCUUAUGGCGGGCGGGUAAUCGCGGUUAUUUACCCAUAACUGUUUAUAUUCAUACCUGUAUAACUGUUUAUCCGUUAAGUAAUUGCAUUAAUGGUUAUACCCAUAUCCAUAACCAUUUAUAAAUGGUUAACUACAUCCAUAAUCGUGUAUCUAUUUAACCAUAACCAUUUACCCGUUUAUCCGUUUUUGAACCUAUUUAUCAUUUUUUUUACCCAUUUAUCUUCUUUUUUUCACCCGCUACAUGUUUUAACGAUAAAGCCAAUCUUGUGUGUAUGAUAUAGGUCAUGUGGUGAUUGACCUCAAGGCUAUAAUGGCUAUCCCCAAGGUUUAACGAUAAAAUUCUUUGGCCAAAGCCCUCCAUUCAUCAUGGACGUGUGAGACUCUUGGCCUUGAUCUUAGGUAUUGAUUGUUUUGCAGGUGCAUUUUCAUCCAAAAAACAAAAAACAAAACAAAACAAAAAUUUGCAUCUAGAGUGAGUAAAAGUGGAAAUUGAUGGAUGUUGGUGGGAAGGUUACAAAGAAAAGAAGCAUGGGGUGGUGGGCAGGUUGGGAUUUGGGUGUUAAUUGGUGGAAGUAGAUUUUUGGAGGUGGUUUUGGGAGAGAGAUUGAGGUUUAGAGAUUGUGGGGUGGAAGGAGUUGGAAAUGAGAUUUAAUUGUCGAAUUCGGUGGGGAAUUUUGCAGGAGUGGCAUUUCUUAUUGCUCUAUGUAAUCUGUUGUGAGCUUUGGAGAGAGAAGCAUAGAAAAUGAAAGGGUCUCGUAAGGUAUGAGGAGGAGGUUGUGGUGAGUUGAGUUGAGUUGAGUUGAGCGAGUCAGUUUACCUGUAAAAAGAUGUUUUUUGUUCAGAAUGAACGGAAUAUCAGAUAAAAAAUUUGUUUGUAUCAUACUUAGGGCCUUCGUAUUUAGACCUCAUAUAAAUACUCGGGAGACUUAAGUGUAAUUAUGUAAUAAAUGAAGGGGCAAAUAUGUAAUAAGUGAUGAGCCCUUAGUCUAUAAAAGGGACUCCUCACCCUCACAAUCCUCAGGCCUCACAUCCCCUAAACAGAGGCUCUCUCAAACUCUCUUUCUCUGGGGGACUCCCCUUCACCCUUGUAAUCCAUACAUACAGUUAGAAAGAAAUACAAUCAACAUCAGUGUGGACGUAGCCCAAACAUUGGGGUGAACCACGAUACAUCUUGUGUUCUUUACUUUCUUGCAGAUUCACAGUCGAAUUUACAUUGUUCCAAGACAUCUGGUUUUGUGCAUCAACAUUUGGCGCCGUCUGUGGGAAACGGUACGAAAAGUUAUGUUGGUUCUCUUUCAUUUUUUCACCUCCACCAUGAAUCUGCAAAAACCCAAGAACCCUAAGUUUUCCCAGAAAAACCUAAGAAACCAAACCCUCUCUCUCUCUCCCUCUUUCGGCUCUUGCUGUUGAUAACAAAAAGGAUGAUAAAAAAACUCUUUUGCUCUUUUCGGCCUGAUGAGCAGAACGGCGCCCUUGGCCGUUUUACACCUUGCCUCCGCCCAAGACGUGGCGGGACUGGUGUAGGUAGCCUACUCUUCGCCGCACGGGUUCACGGUCUCGGCUAGAUGCCACAGGCACUCCAUCAACGGGCAGGCGCAGACCAACAACGGUGUCGUGAUUCAGAUGAGCGGGGGAUCGUUGAUCGGUGAGGCGGAAGCUCACCUGCUCAUUUUACAAAGCUCACCUGCUCCAAUAUAUGUUAGCCAUAUAUUGCCCGUCUCAAUAACCACACUGAAAUCAAACAGCAAGUGACCCGUUACAUUAAUUAGGUUGGAGUGUUUGAAAUUUAGAAGGAAACAACCGAGAACAUUCCUCGUCCACUUCCAAAUUGCAGUUGAAAAUUCAACGUUCUAUUUGUAUUUGUACUUGUACAACAUCUUCACUGUCGUUGUUUUAUUUGGGUUCCGCGAGAAACACGACAGACAACAUGAAUGGACUUCGGAGCAGCCAUUGCCAACGAUGUCUGCAACUACAAAUCCCAAUUCUCCUCCUCUUGUCCAUUAGCCUCCUAUUCAAUUUAGGUUCGGCAGACGAGCCCUCAACUCCCAAGAACGGAGACAAAGCUUCAAGUGGGUCGGUAGCGCUCAAGGCAGUGAUUGUGCUGCUGGGGGUGGCGGCUAUCAUCGGCUUCUGUGUCUUCUUGUUCAAGAUAUGGCAGAAGAAGAAGAGAGAAGAGCAACGCGCCCGUCUUCUUAAGCUCUUUGAAGACGACGAUGAACUCGAGGUUGAGCUUGGCAUUAAGGAUUGAUGAUUGAUCCCAAUGAACACAAUCCACCCUCCAGAAAGAAAAGCAAAAGAUAUCUUGCAAAGCAACAUGGGUGGGCAGAAUGAGCGGGGAGAUCAAGAAAAGCAGAAAGCAAAAGAAAAUAAAAAAAAGCAGACAUAAUUGCGGUGGUGAUGGCAUGCAAAAAAAGGAAUUAUGGGCGUGACCCAUUGAGCAGAGGGUCAGAUUUAUUUUUGAAUGAUGUGAUCUAUUUAUCUUUCGGAGACAUCUGUAUAACCCCAUCAGAGAGUAAUAAAAAAAAAAAAACAAGCCUAAAAUAAUGGGUUGGAAUGUUAUGUGGAGGCUGAAGGCCCAUAUGCCCAAAAGAGCCAGACCCUUUAUUAUCACAAACUAGGUGAUCAAAAGUAAGUCCAGUACUCUAAAAUUAUUCGGCAGCCUACUGCUAUUAUCACCAACCAGGUGAUCAAAAGUACGUCCAGUACUCCAAAAUUAUUCGGCAGCCUGUCGUUAUUAUCACUAACUAGGUGAUCAAAAGUACGUCUAGUACUCCAAAAUUAUACAUGAGCAUCACUCAUGUCAAUCAUACAUAAACAUUCAUGAGCAUCACUCAUGUCAAUCAUACAUAAACAUUCAGGACCAUUAUUCAUGUCAACAUUCAUGAGCAUCACUCAUGUCAACAUCCAUGAGCAUCACUUAUGUCAAUCAAUGUAAACAUUCAUGAGCAUCACUCAUGUCAAUCAGCUUCGAAAGCUUCAUUUACAGAGCUCCAGCUUCAGCUUCAGCUUUCAGAGCUUCAUCAAGCUUCAAAAGCUUCAUUUUCAAAAGCUCUCAAAGCUUCACUUGCAAAGCUUCACCUACAAAGCUUCAGUCAUGCAGGGUAUAUAAAAUACCGCAUCUGAACAAUCGCCCAACUUCGGCACUAUACUUUCAUAGAAGACUUGGGGGACUACACUAUGUACUUGGGGGACUUAGCCCAUUAUUUAUGUAUUGAAGAGCGAACCCUUAUUUUAUAAAAGGGACUCCUUCACUUUCAUUAGAGAGCACCCAUUAUUUAUGUAUUGAAGAGCGAGCCCUUAUUCUAUAAAAUGGACUCCCUCACCAUCAUUAGAUAGCAUCGUUGCCAGCUAAGCAACCUCCUCGCCGCGAACAUCAACUCUAGCCCAUCACUUAUGUAUUGAGAAGCGAGCCCUUAUUUUAUAAAAGGGACUCCCUCACCAUCAUUAGAGGCAUUGCCGCCUACUGAGCAACCACCUCGCCACGAGCAUCAACUCUAGCCUAUCACUUAUGUAUUGAGGAGCGAGCCCUUAUUUUAUAAAAGGGACUCCCUCACCAUUAUUAGAGAGCAUCGCCGCCUAUUGAGCAACCGCAUCGCCGCUAGCAUCACUUAUAGCCCAUCAUUUAUGUAUUGAGGAGCGAACCCUUAUUCUAUAAAAGGCACUCCUUCACCUUCAACGCCACAAGCCGAGCCAACCAAGGCAACAUAAGCCACAAGCCAAGCAACAUCGCAACAUGUGCUACUUCUAGUUGAGCAUCAUUUCACAUUGAGCACCGCCUCAUAUCGAGUAUCAGUUCUAGACGACAUCUAGUUACUUCGGCCCACACAUGGACUAAAUUUCAAGUCUCCAGCCAAAAGACUCUCUUGACGGAAGACUUGGGGUACUACUGUUUGUAUCAUACUUAGAGCCUUCGUAUUUAUACCUCGUAUAAAUACUCGGAGGACUCAAGUGUAAUUAUGUAAUCAAUGAAGGGGCAAAUAUGUAAUAAGUAAUGAGUACUUAGUCUAUAAAAGGGACUCCUCACAUUCACAAUCCUCGGGCCUCGCAUCCCCUAAAUAGAGGCUCUCUCAAACUCUUUUUCUCUGGGGGACUCCCCCUCACCCUUGUAAUCCAUACAUACAAUUAGAGAGAAAUACAAUCAACAUCAGUGUGGACGUAGCCCAAACAUUGAGAUGAACUACGAUACAACUUGUGUUCUUUACUUUCUUGCAAAUUCACGGUCGGAUUUACGUUGUUCCAAGACCUCCGAUUUUGUGCAUCAACAAAAUUAAAAAAAUCUAAUGGCAUAAAGAAAUUUGGCUAAUUAUAAAAUUUCGAAGAUAAUCAAAUAAGAUAAAAAUUUAUAAGAGAAAUUAACGUCUUACAAAAAAAUCGACAAAUAAGUCAUAUUAAAACAACUCUCAAGGUUCUGCCGUCUCAGUUCUUGUGCUCUUCCGUGCCCUCCUGUUUUAUGUGGUUACAGUUAAGCCACAUCAUUUUUUUAUAUUAUAUUUUUUAUAAAGAUAAUAAGAUAAAAAAUAAUAGUAAUAUAAAAUAUUAACAUUACUUAACCGUGAUCAUACAAAAUAAGAAAGUACGAUAGGGCACAAAAAGUGGGAGGGCAGGAAAUCUGCCUCCCUCUCCACCCAUGCUAUCUAAUUUCACACGUUUCAACAUGCAGAAGCUACUAAAUCUGCCUCCCUCUCCACCCAUGCUAUCUAAUUUCACACGUUUCAACAUGCAGAAUCUACUUGCAAUAUCACUCCCUUGUCAUUAUCACAUCACAUCACUUUUUGUUACUUGUCAUGACCCCAUGCAUGACUAUGCAUCCUGACAAUUCUGAUCAACCCCAUGCCGUUUCCUUUCUUAUUUUUUUUCUUUUUAUUUAAACAGUCAUAACAAAAUCACGUUAAGAUUUUAUAUUAAUUUUUUUUUUAUAAAAAAACAAAGUAAAGUAGGAAAUUUUAACAAAAAACUCAUGGUACUGUUCACUUUAACGAAAAACCAUAUUUUUACACUAAAAAGUUAAUCCUGGUACUAUUUACUUUACCUUUUAUUUUGUCCUUAUUAUUAAAACUCAAAGUUUUCAAAUCAUUUUCAUUAGUUUUAUUAAUACAGUACGUAAGAAGAGGAGAGAAAAGAGAAUAAAAAGAGAAAGAGAAAGAGGAAAAUUCUAAUCCCACUGCUCCAAUCCAAUCCGAUGACAAGAAUCCCAAUCCCAUGUAAACUGCACUGCUUGCUUGGAGAUAUAAUUAGAUUUGGAUUGUCUGCUCUCCUCAUCUCAUAUUCUUCGCAUGCCUCCUAUUAUGUGGUCACAGUUAAGUCACAUCAAUAUUUUAUAUUAAUUUUUUUAUAGAAAUAAUAAGACAAAAGGUAAUAGAAAUAUAAAAUGUUAACGUAACUGAACUGUGACCAUAAAAAUAGGAGGGUAUGAGAUGGAGAGAGUAGGCAAUCCAAGUCCGAUAUAAUUUGCAUCUUAUUAUUCCGUAAAAGAAAAGACUAAGAUAAUUCAUAUUAAAAGAUAAUUAUUAUAUGAUUAAAAAUCAUAAUAUUAUUCUUUAACAAUAAUAAAAUUCUCAUCACUUUUUCAUUUGAUUGUUUAGAACCAUGCUCAAUCAAUGGUUUCGAUUGCACGGAUCGAUAGUGUAAUUUUGAGUCCAAAUAGAAACACAUAAAAAGAUUGAAAAUGCAUUUUUAUACUCUAGGGAGAAGCGGAGCUAGUAAUUUACAACAAUGGGAUCAAAAAUAACUUUAAAAAAUCGAUCACACUUUCAUUUAAAAAUAGCUUCCAAAUUGAAAACACAUCACCCAUCUCACUCAAAUGAAAGAACAAAUAGAGAUUAAAAAAAUACAUAACAAAUUUCUCUCUAAAAAAUUAGCACCAAUAUGAGUAAUUGCUAGGGCACCCUGCGGAGAGCACUAAAGCAGCAACUGCUGCCUUUUAAAUGAUGCCCCAUGUUUUUCACACUCUCUCUGUCUGGUUCUCUCUUUCAAAAUGGUAGACCCGACUGCUCUCUUAUUAAAAUGAGAGAGCUGAAUCCUCUCCGAUCAAAGGGUAUGGCAAACAGGUGAUAUAUGUAUUACAACAAAUCAACAUAAAUUAAUAGAGAAAUAUAAAGGAAAUGCAGAGUCUUUGAGGACUGAUUCUCUGGAUUUUAUGUCUUUCCUUUCAACUUUUGUCUAUAAAUAAACACACACACAAACACCCCAACUACUACCUCCACUACCACCCCACAGCUUUAUCUAAGCUGACCUCGUGCAACCCUUUUGCAAUUUUGUAUCAAACAGUUCAGAUUUCAACCUUCAAUGGCGGAUGAGGUGGUUUUGUUGGAUUCCUGGCAAAGCCCAUUUGGGAUGAGGCUAAGGAUUGCUCUGGCUGAGAAGGGCAUCGAGUAUGAGUACAAAGAUGAGGACUUGUGGAACAAGAGCCCACUGUUGCUGCAGAUGAACCCGGUUCACAAGAAGAUCCCGGUUCUCAUUCACAAU
rnacentral:lncRNA from 1 species